AGAGUUUGAUCCUGGCUCAGGACGAACGCUGGCGGCGUGCCUAAUACAUGCAAGUCGAGCGAAUCGAUGGGAGCUUGCUCCCUGAGAUUAGCGGCGGACGGGUGAGUAACACGUGGGCAACCUGCCUAUAAGACUGGGAUAACUUCGGGAAACCGGAGCUAAUACCGGAUAAUCCUUUUCCUCUCCUUUUUAAAAGCUGAAAGUCGGUUUCAGCUGACGCUUCCAGAUGGGCCCGCGGAGCAUUACCUAGUUGGUGAGGUAACGGGUCACCAAGGCGAUCAUGCGUACCCCAACUGAUAGGGUGAUCGGCCACACUGGCACUGACACUGGGCCCGAACUCCUACCGGAAGUCCUACUAGGGAAUCUUCCACAAUGGAUUAAAGUCUGAUGGAACAUCUCCUGGAGAGCCAUGAAGGGCUUCAGGUCGGACUUCUCUGUUGUUAGGUAAGAAGUUAUACCGGAAUAACUGCCGGAACCUUGGCCGUACCUUUCCCGAAACCCACGGCUAACUACGUGCCUACCUCCGCGGCAAUACCUACGUGGCUAGCGUUGUCCGGAAUUAUUGGCCGUAUUGUUGGCGCAAGCGGGCCUUUAAGUCUGAUGUGAAAUCCCAUGUGUCAGCCGUGGAGGGUCAUUGGAAACUGGAUUACUUGCUGGCAGACUAGGAUGGCGAAGAUCCACGUGUAGCUCUGAGUUGCGUAGAGAUGUGCAUGAACAUCUGUGGCAAAAGCGGCUUUCUGGGCUGUUUCUGACGCUGAGGCUGACAAUCAUGCGGAGCAAACUGGAUUAGCAUACCCUGGUAGACCCCGUCGUAGACGAUGACUGAUACGAGUUAUGCGGUUUGCGCCGCUUAUUGCUGCAGCUAACGCUGUAAGCACUCCGCCUGGGGAGUACGGCCGCAAGGCUGAAACUCAAAGGAAUUGACGG
rnacentral:rRNA from 1 species